rnacentral:lncRNA from 1 species
GCUCACAAUACACAUAGCUCCGUUUUGCAGAAACACGUCCAAUUUACAUUAGAUGUUCCUUCACUAGCUCUGCUUCCUUUAUUUUUCUUUUUUUUUCAGAUCGGCAAGAAACUAUAAGUCUGUGAAAGCGCUUCCAGCACCGUGUGCAAAGUUUUCAACUUAUUUUCUUGCAUCGGAUUCUUUCCUCCUCUUCAAACGCUUCAUAUUAACUUACUAAUUGACAAGAGACAGGGUCAGAGUGGAAGCUACUCUCAGCGUAUUAAUCAUCGGCAAGAAACGAGCAUAAUGAAAGCUGUUUCACUUCAUUUUUUACUAUUGUCCACCAAGUCCUACCAUCGAGGAAAAUCUGUGAUUUAAAGGUACCAAUAUAGUUGAAUCACGGUGAUGUGCAUUAAUUUGAAUGAUGAAGAAACUCGCCUUAUUGCUAUGUACCUUGCGUUCUCACUUUAAUGGUACUCCUUUACAAUAGGACGUAAAACUUUAGUAGUUGGAUGGGCAUUUUGAAUAUUAAAUUAUUUGUAGUGUUGUAAAAAUUAACAGAAAUGUUGGUGUAAUUCACCAAAAAGUACCCGUACAGUUUUAAUUAAUCUACAACUGAAGAAUACACUGAAUAAUUGUUUAUGAAAUCAAUAGCUGAAGAAAAAAUUACAAAAGUAGAGAACAACAUUGCACUAUUUUCCGAAUGAUAUUAAUGAAUUCCAGAUUUUUUACCACUAGAUGAUUACAGUACUUUUAGAAAGUAUCAAUUUUGACGAGGCCAUUCAGAGUGAACAAAACAAUUUUCUGGCUUAAGUUUCUAUUUUCAAGUUAGGUUAGGCAUUGACUAAUCAUUCUUUUUUUUAUUUUUAUUUUGUUUCAGGUCUACCAAAAAGGCUCUUUCACAGCAUAAAUUCUGAAUGCCAACCGCUGCAAUCCUUUUUC